CCUGCCCCUGAGUCUAUAUCCCCCUCCUCCCCUGCUCCUGAGUCUGUAUCCUCAUUUGCUCCUGUGCCUGCCCUUGCACCUGCUUCUGCACCUGUCUGUACCUGAGACUCCACCCACCUGCACCUGUCUGCGCCUGAGACUCCACCCACCCGCGCCUGCGUCUGACCCUGUCUGUACCUGAGACUCCACCCACCUGCGCCUGAGACUCCACCCAUCUGCACCUGUCUACGCCUGAGACUCCACCCACCUGCGCCUGCGACUGCACCUAAGACUCCACCCACCUGCGCCUGCGUCUGCACCUGAGACUCCACCCACUUGCCCUGCGUCUGCACCUCUCUGUACCUGGGACUCCACCCACCUGCGCCUGCGUCUGCACCUGAGACUCCACCCACCUGCCUGUACCUGAGACUCCACCCACUUGCGCCUGCGACUGCACCUGUCUGUACCUGAGACUCCCACCCACCUGCGCCUGCGUCUGUACCUGAGAUUGUGCCCGCCUGUGUCUGCACCUGUGUCUCCUGCUGUGUGUGACCAGAUCCUUUCGGUCUUUCAGGGAAGUACCUGAGACAGAAGAGAAUUGAUUUCCAGCUGCCGUAUGACAUCCUGUGGCAGUGGAAACACAACCAGCUCUACAAGAAGCCUGACGUCCCUCUGUACAAGAAGAUCAGAUCCAAUGUGUACGUGGACGUGAAGCCGCUCUCCGGCUACGAAGCCACCACCUGCAGCUGCAAGAGGUCGGAGGACGAGGCCGAGAAGGGCUGCAUUGACGACUGUCUGAACAGGAUGAUCUUUGCCGAGUGCUCCCCCAACACCUGCCCCUGCGGAGACCAGUGUGACAACCAGCGCAUCCAGAGGCACGAGUGGGUGCAGUGCCUGGAGCGCUUCCGGGCUGAAGGCAAGGGCUGGGGGAUCCGCACCAAGGAGUCGCUGCGCUCGGGCCAGUUCAUCAUCGAGUACCUGGGGGAGGUGGUGAGCGAGCAGGAGUUCAGGUAGGGCACAGGUCGAGGGCAGUGGGACAUGCAGCUCAGGGUGUUCAUGGGUGGAGCACCUGCACAGGCAGGGCGCACCUGAGAUUUGUACUGAGGUGGACACAGCUGGACAGGCAGAGCACACCUGAGAUUUGUACUGAGGUGGACACAGCUGGACAGG
rnacentral:lncRNA from 1 species